GAGUAAAAGUCGUAACAAGGUUUCCGUAGGUGAACCUGCGGAAGGAUCAUUAUUGAAUGAAACACUUCUGGCUUUAUGCUGUUGUGCUGGCCCUUUGGGCAAUGUGCACACGGCUCUGGUCACUUGUUUCUUCUGUUCCACCUGUGCACUGCCUGGAGACACGCUGUGUCUAUGAUAUUUGUUAACACACAACAAUGUUAGUUGGCAUGUUAUAUAUAAUAAUAAAAUAUACAACUUUCAACAACGGAUCUCUUGGCUCUC
rnacentral:misc_RNA from 1 species